rnacentral:rRNA from 1 species
CACGUAGUUAGCCGUGGCUUCUUCUGCAGGUACCGUCCUUUUGUCUUCCCUGCUGAAAGAGGUUUACAAUCCGAAGACCGUCUUCCCUCACGCGGCGUCGCUGGGUCAGGCUUGCGCCCAUUGCCCAAUAUUCCCCACUGCUGCCUCCCGUAGGAGUCUGGACCGUUUCUCAGUUCCAAUGUGGCCGUUCAACCUCUCAGUCCGGCUACCGAUCGUCGGCUUGGUGAGCCGUUACCCCACCAACUACCUAAUCGGACGCGAGCCCAUCUGUUAGCGAUAAAUCUUUGGCAUUAACACCAUGCGAUAUCAAUGCGUUAUGCGGUAUUAGCGUCCGUUUCCAGACGUUAUUCCCCUCUAACAGGCAGGUUGCUCACGCGUUACUCACCCGUCCGCCACUAAGUUAACCUGAAGCAAGCUUCUGGUCAACUCCGUUCGACUUGAAUGUGUUAUGCACGCCGCCAGCGUUCAUCCUGAGCCAGGAUCAAACUC